rnacentral:rRNA from 1 species
CAGAGGAGCUUGCUCCUUGGGUGACGAGUGGCGGACGGGUGAGUAAUGUCUGGGGAUCUGCCCGAUAGAGGGGGAUAACCACUGGAAACGGUGGCUAAUACCGCAUAACGUCGCAAGACCAAAGAGGGGGACCUUCGGGCCUCUCACUAUCGGAUGAACCCAGAUGGGAUUAGCUAGUAGGCGGGGUAAUGGCCCACCUAGGCGACGAUCCCUAGCUGGUCUGAGAGGAUGACCAGCCACACUGGAACUGAGACACGGUCCAGACUCCUACGGGAGGCAGCAGUGGGGAAUAUUGCACAAUGGGCGCAAGCCUGAUGCAGCCAUGCCGCGUGUAUGAAGAAGGCCUUCGGGUUGUAAAGUACUUUCAGCGGGGAGGAAGGCGAUGCGGUUAAUAACCGCGUCGAUUGACGUUACCCGCAGAAGAAGCACCGGCUAACUCCGUGCCAGCAGCCGCGGUAAUACGGAGGGUGCAAGCGUUAAUCGGAAUUACUGGGCGUAAAGCGCACGCAGGCGGUCUGUUAAGUCAGAUGUGAAAUCCCCGGGCUUAACCUGGGAACUGCAUUGAAAC